UGUGGAUGUGGAUGAGUGUGACUCUGGGCCCUGUCUGAACGGAGCUCAGUGUCAGGAGUCACCCCUACCUGGGGAGUUCAGCUGCACCUGCCCCCCCUUCUUCAGUGGGCCCUUAUGCAAUGUACCCUUUGACCCAUGUGACCCCGCCCACAACCCCUGCCUGCACAAUGCCACCUGCCUGACUCAUUCUGAUGGAACAGCAGCCUGCAGAUGCCGACCCGGAUUCCAGGGAACACGCUGUGAAAUUGACACUGACGAGUGUAUCUCAGGCCCAUGCCAGAACCAGGGCCACUGUCUUGACCGGGUCAACAGCUACAGCUGUGACUGUGAGCCUGGGUUUUCUGGCCGACACUGUGAGGAAGACAUCAAUGAAUGUGCCUCCAGCCCCUGCCAAAAUGGAGGCAUUUGCCAAGACCUGGUGAACAGGUUCCACUGCAAUUGCCCACCUGGAUAUUUUGGCAGCCUGUGUGACCUGGAUAUUAAUGAGUGUGAAGUUUCACCUUGCCUCCACGAGGCCGUCUGUAUCAACAAACCUGGAGGCUUCAA